UACGUAGGGUGCGAGCGUUAAUCGGAAUUACUGGGCGUAAAGCGUGCGCAAGCGGCUCGUUAAGACAGGUGUGAAAGCCCCGAGCUUAACUUGGGAAUUGCGCUUGUGACUGGCGUGCUGGAGUGUGGCAGAGGGAGGUGGAAUUCCACGUGUAGCAGUGAAAUGCGUAGAGAUGUGGAGGAACACCGAUGGCGAAGGCAGCCUCCUGGGCCAGCACUGACGCUCAUGCACGAAAGCGUGGGGAGCAAACAGG
rnacentral:rRNA from 1 species